GGGAAAGCGUCUGUCUUAACAGGCGAGUCUCACGUGUGGAGAUGUAGUGGACUAGCCACUGCGGGUUACCCACGGAGUGAAGUGUUCGAUGCUUGUUAAGACAGAUAGGUUGCAGGCAACUAGGGACAUAUUAGGGACAGUAGCAGUUGUUAUGGUAAAUAGCCAUUUUAGGGGGGACUGUUGUGGAAAUAAGGUCUGCACAUAUUUCCUAAUUAGAGAAAAUGUCUAUUUACUCAUUUCACGAUAUAUCACAUAUAAAGCUAAG